GAUGAACGCUGGCGGCGUGCCUAAUACAUGCAAGUCGAGCGAACAGACGAUGAGCUUGCUCCUCUGACGUUAGCGGCGGACGGGUGAGUAACACGUGGAUAACCUACCUAUAAGACUGGGAUAACUUCGGGAAACCGGAGCUAAUACCGGAUAAUAUAUUGAACCGCAUGGUUCAAUAGUGAAAGACGGUUUUGCUGUCACUUAUAGAUGGAUCCGCGCCGCAUUAGCUAGUUGGUAAGGUAACGGCUUACCAAGGCAACGAUGCGUAGCCGACCUGAGAGGGUGAUCGGCCACACUGGAACUGAGACACGGUCCAGACUCCUACGGGAGGCCGCAGUAGGGAAUCUUCCGCAAUGGGCGAAAGCUUGACGGAGCAACGCCGCGUGAGUGAUGAAGGUCUUCGGAUCGUAAAACUCUGUUAUUAGGGAAGAACAAAUGUGUAAGUAACUAUGCACGUCUUGACGGUACCUAAUCAGAAAGCCACGGCUAACUACGUG
rnacentral:rRNA from 1 species